rnacentral:rRNA from 1 species
CAAUAGCGUAUAUUAAAGUUGUUGCGGUUAAAAAGCUCGUAGUUGGAUUUCUGCCGAGGACGACCGGUCCGCCCUCUGGGUGAGUAUCUGGCUCGGCCUGGGCAUCUUCUUGGAGAACGUAGCUGCACUUGACUGUGUGGUGCGGUAUCCAGGACUUUUACUUUGAGGAAAUUAGAGUGUUUCAAGCAGGCUUACGCCUUGAAUACAUUAGCAUGGAAUAAUAAGAUAGGACCUCGGUUCUAUUUUGUUGGUUUCUAGAGCUGAGGUAAUGAUUAAUAGGGAUAGUUGGGGGCAUUCGUAUUUAACUGUCAGAGGUGAAAUUCUUGGACUUGUUAAAGACGGACUACUGCGAAAGCAUUUGCCAAGGAUGUUUNCAUUGA